UACAGAGGUCCCAAGCGUUGUUCGGAUUCACUGGGCGUAAAGCGUGCGUAGGUGGUUGUGCAAGUCUGAUGUGAAAUCUCCGGGCUUAACCCGGAAAUGGCAUUGGAAACUGCAUAGCUAGAGGGUUGGAGGGGGGACUGGAAUACUUGGUGUAGCAGUGAAAUGCGUAGAUAUCAAGUGGAACACCAGUGGCGAAGGCGAGUCCCUGGACAACUCCUGACGCUGAGGCACGAAAGCUAGGGGAGCAAACAGG
rnacentral:rRNA from 1 species